rnacentral:rRNA from 1 species
AACGUAGGUGGCGAGCGUUAUCCGGAUUUACUGGGCGUAAAGGGCGCGUAGGCGGCCUCUGCAAGUCGACUGUGAAAUCUCCGGGCUUAACCCGGAAAGGUCAGCCGAUACUGCAGGGCUAGAGUGCAGAAGGGGCAACUGGAAUUCUCGGUGUAGCGGUGAAAUGCGUAGAUAUCGAGAGGAACACCUGCGGCGAAGGCGGGUUGCUGGGCUGACACUGACGCUGAAGCGCGAAGGCGUGGGGAGCAAACGGG